rnacentral:rRNA from 1 species
UACGGAGGGAGCAAGCGUUAUCCGGAGUCACUGGGUUUAAAGGGUGCGUAGGCGGCUUAGUAAGUCAGGAGUGAAAGCCUGCGGCUUAACCGUAGAAAUGCUUUUGAUACUGCUGAGCUUGAAUUAGGUUGAGGUUGGCGGAAUGUGACAUGUAGCGGUGAAAUGCAUAGAUAUGUCAUAGAACACCAAUUGCGAAGGCAGCUGACUAGACCUGAAUUGACGCUGAGGCACGAAAGCGUGGGGAGCGAACAGG